CAUAUCCCGAAAUAUGAUAUUUCGGGAUAUAAGGAAGAGUAAGGGAUGACCCCAGUUUGUUGUCCUGAGUAGCUGGGACAAUGAAGUUGCCACUGACUUGCAUGGAGAAGGCUGUCAAUGGAAACCAAGGCUGGGGCAUUCAGUCUUCAUUUUAAGAUGUCUGUUGGACUUCCGGGUGGAAAAGUCAGGUGCAACCCAUCUCUGAGGCAACAAUUACUCUCACACGGAUGAGGAAACCAAACUCAUGGAGACUUUGAGUGUCCCAUGGAUGACUCUGGUUGCUUUGUAUGGACGGAUGACCACCUGUUGAGAGACAGACGACCUACAGACAGCAUGUGCUUAAUGCUUUGUGAAAACAAAUACCUGGAGAAAGCAAACUUUUCUCGGGGAUGCAAAUAACCAUGGAUGUGCUUUGUUUUGUAAAGACGGCUGAACACUGCUGGUUGCCUGAAUGGCUUUAUUACAUGUGUGAGCCAUCGGAAAUGCCGCCGCACUCCCAGUCAACAGGGGCGAUCUGUAACCACAAACUCGGUGACAGAAAGACAAAUGAGGAAAUCUCAGGACCCAGUGAGGCCUAAUUAGUAUCCAUACAGGAAACUCUCCAGUAACCUGGCAGUUUGCAGCCGGGGGAGGACACGCGCGGCAUUGUCUUAACCACAAGUUCAUCAAACGCGUAAUUAGCCACCGGCCACCAGCCACCUUUGCAAACUGGGUCUGAGCUGCUGCCAAUCCCAGACCGGCCGGCGGGUGUCUCUUAACAGAAGGCUAGGUAGAUGUACAAACACUGUGCUCUCCAGCAGGGCCAAAUAGCCAGGCCUGUCUGGCUUUUUGACGUGGCGGACUCACAAUAUUUUCCCCUGUGUUAAUGAACUUGGAUUUCAGGGGUCGGUUCCCCUCAAGUUACCUCCAAAAGAAGAAAGCCCAGGGCAUCACUUUCUGUCAGAGUUGAGGGACUGCUAUGGAGAGAGUUGGCCUGUAGAGGAUGACCUUGGUUCAGACAAUUAGUUUCCAUCGUCGAGAGGCAUUAAACACUUCCAACAAAGAGAGAUAUUAGAAGCCUGGCACUUCUAACCUUCCACAUCCAGCAUGGUGAGAAAGGCCUCGGGAUCCCCACCUUCCCAUUUCAGCACUGCAGAAAGAAUUAACUGGAAAAUAUUGUCUCUGCAAAUAAAAAAUAAUAGUACAUCCAA